CCCAUUUUCAUAUAUAUACAGAAGUAACAGUAUAGUAUCUGCUCUUAUCAGUUUAAUAUCUGAUACAUCCUCUAUAUGAGGACUACAUAUCAAAUUGAUUUCUAGAACAGGGAGAUAAGAGCUUGCUCCGUCUGCUCCACGCAUAGACCUGGUAUUAGGGACAGUCGUGGGCUGGAGGUUAGGGAACCUAG
ensembl:snRNA U2 U2 spliceosomal RNA